GCGCGGUUUUAUUUCAAAAUUUUCCACUCUCUGAAAUCCCGAAUUUUUUUCCCUAAAAUUAAUAUCCUCGAAACACUCCCAAUCUCACCCCUCCAUUUCUCUUUUUAAUCAAAAAAACUCUCCAGCAGCAGUCUUGAUUUGAUUUCCAGUUAGACUCUGAAAUAGAAGAGUUGGCAGUGAACCAGACGGCAGCGUUGAAGGUGGGGUUGUGUCUAUUGGCAUUUCAUGGAAGGACUGCAAUACAAUAGCCUCGAUCUCGUAACUCCAAAGCCUUCCUAUUUGCUACCAGUUUUGGUAGUUUCAAGAAGCUUAUUUUUUGCUUUAUUCCUCAGACGAAGUCAUCAGUCUCACAAAGGAAGAAAUUUCAACUUGUUUUUUACGUCUAAACGAAAAAAUAAUGCCUAACAUUGUUUCAGAGCACUUGCUGCGAAGAGGAACAGGUAUCAAAGACAGAAGUCAUUGAUGCUGCUUGAAAUGGAGAGUCAGCACGCCAAGGGGUUACCAUCAGUUCCCCUCAACCCCCAUUAGUAGUCAAACAGCCAGCUUUGGAAAGGCGACAUUACUGGUUUUCAUAGUUUUCCACUCACACAUGAAGAGGAUAUAUAUAUAGAUUAGAGGGGGCGCAUGCAAAUGAAAUGCAGUGCAGUUAUAUAGGGAAUACAAUAAAAUAAAACACGUGAAUGAAUUUCUAUACUGAAAAAGGAAAGAAAAAGACAAAAAAACCAAGAGUUGGUGGAUUUGGAUUUGACCAACGAAAUAGGGCCUUAGAAAGUCGCAUUCGCUGUUGAAAUGCAUUGUAUCUCAAUUCGCCUUAUAGUUUUUCCCAUUGAUCAACAAAAGGGUAUAAGGAGGUCAGUGUAUGUGUUAAUCAUAACCCUUUUUUUUGUGUGUGUGUGACAUUUGGUGAGCAAUGCAAUGCAUGGGGUUAUAAAUAUCCACACUUGGAUUAUGUAAAUGAGACCACUAAUUUAUUGCCAAGAGGUCCAGGUUGAUUCUACUUAA